rnacentral:rRNA from 1 species
UACGGAGGGUGCAAGCAUUGAUCGGAAUUACUGGGCGUAAAGGGCGCGUAGGCGGUUAUAAAAGUCGGAUGUGAAAUUCCGGGGCUCACCCCCGGAGCUGCAUUUGAAACUUUAUGACUAGAGUUCAGUUAGGGUAAACGGAAUUCCACGUGUAGCGGUGAAAUGCGUAGAUAUGUGGAAGAACACCGGUGGUGAAGACGGUUUACUGGGCUGAUACUGACGCUGAGGCGCGAAAGCAUGGGGAGCAAACAGG